rnacentral:lncRNA from 1 species
CAAAGGAAAAGCAGGUCACACUCUGCACCUGCCGCUUCCCGGCAGCCCUCCUGCUGCCAGGCGGGAGUGAGGUGGCAGAUGGAAAGUGUCGUCUGCGUGCCAAGAUUGGCUGCAGCAGCGCUCCUGUGGUGGCUGUGGAGCCGUGUACCUUCGGUGUCGGUGCAGGUGGGUAUGGAGGCACGCCUCACUGCGGGGCCAUCCUCGCAGAAGCUCAUCCUGUUCCGCCUCGUGCCAGCGGGUUGCUCCUUGUUGGCGCCAGCCAUGCCGGAGCUCAUCCCUUCAGGUGCGUCUGCUCUCUACCAGAUGCUCCUUCAGGAUGCAGGACCCACCAGCGUGCACCGCCUUCAUACCCCUCCCGGGUGGCCGUGUC